GGAACUUAUUUUAGCAGGUUCAUUUGCCUCAGUGGGGAAUACAGGACUUUGGCCUAAUGCUUCACCUUUAGUGCAGGCCAUUUGAGCCUUAGAACAAAUACCAAUCAUCACUCUUUGGGAAAAAAGAAUCUGCAUUGGCGUGGCCUAUUGGAAUGGGGUUUCUGUCAAGCUCCCCACAUUCUCAUACCCAUUUGGGCAAUUUCUGCACUAUGUCCAUCUGGUUCUCAUUACCUCUCAACCUGCCUGCGUCUGAUCCAGAAAAAGAGCAGAUUGCAUUCUUACCCAAAUACUCUUCGUGAUUGCCUGCUUUGCGGCUUUGGGGUCGAAUACAGCUUCUUAUUCACUGACGACUAA
rnacentral:lncRNA from 10 species